rnacentral:rRNA from 1 species
GACGAACGCUGGCGGCGUGCCUAAUACAUGCAAGUUGAGCGAUGAAGAUUGGUGCUUGCACCAAUUUGAAGAGCAGCGAACGGGUGAGUAACGCGUGGGGAAUCUGCCUUUGAGCGGGGGACAACAUUUGGAAACGAAUGCUAAUACCGCAUAACAACUUUAAACAUAAGUUUUAAGUUUGAAAGAUGCAAUUGCAUCACUCAAAGAUGAUCCCGCGUUGUAUUAGCUAGUUGGUGAGGUAAAGGCUCACCAAGGCGAUGAUACAUAGCCGACCUGAGAGGAUGAGUGGCCACACUGGGAGUGAGACACGGCCCAUAGGGCUAGAGAAGGCAGCAGUAGGGAAUCGGCGGCAAUGGGCGAAAGACUGACCGAGCAACGCCGCGGGAGGGAGGAGGGACUUCGGAUCGGAGAACACUGUUGGUAGAGAAGAACGUUGGUGAGAGUGGAAAGCUCAGCAAGUGACGGUAACUACCCAGAAAGGGACGGCUAACUACGUG